rnacentral:rRNA from 1 species
GACGAACGCUGGCGGCGUGCUUAACACAUGCAAGUCGAACGGAAAGACCCGGCUUUUGUGGGUUUCUCGAUUGCCGAAGGGGGGAGUAACACGUGAGUAACCUGCCCUUGACUGUGUGGGAACUUCACGAAACUGGGGCUAAUACCGGAUAUGAUCUCCUGCUGCAUGUUGGGCGUUGGAAAGAUUCGGCGGUUGGGGAUGGACUCGCGGCUUAUCAGCUUGUUUGGGGGGUAGUGGCGUACCAGGCCUUUGACGGGUAGCCGGCCUGGGAGGGUUACCGGCGCCAAUGCGCCUGCGAUACGGCGCAGAAUAGAAUGUGCGGCAGUAGUGGGGAGUAUUGCAGAAUGAGAGGAAGUGUGAUGUAGAGACGCCGCGUGCGGGAUGCCCGGCUAUGAGUUGUAAACAGAUUUGUAAUUAGCCGAGGAGUUAGUGACGGUAACGGGUAAAGAAGCACCGGCUAACUACGUG